rnacentral:rRNA from 1 species
UACGAAGGGUGCAAGCGUUACUCGGAAUUACUGGGCGUAAAGGGUGCGUAGGUGGUUUGUUAAGUCUGCUGUGAAAUCCCCGGGCUCAACCUGGGAAUGGCAGUGGAUACUGGCAAGCUAGAGUGCGGUAGAGGGUAGUGGAAUUCCCGGUGUAGCAGUGAAAUGCGUAGAGAUCGGGAGGAACACCAGUGGCGAAGGCGGCUACCUGGACCAGCACUGACACUGAAGCCCGAAAGCGUGGGGAGCAAACAGG